AUGCCUGAUAUAGGGUUGACAAAGACUAAUCUAAUAAUCCUUCCUUUUCCACCCACUCUCUGUCCUAACUUUAAAGCCUUUGGGCUGGAUCCUAACUUGAGAUGCACAUGCUUAACUCUGACUUAUCAUGAAUUGAUGUCAAUGGAAGACUCAAGUGAAAAGUUAAGCUUGUGUAUCUCGAGUUAGGAUUUGGCCCUUUAUUUGCAUCUAUUUGUUUUCUUUGGAAAUAGGAUCCAAUUGGACAAAAUGGCUGCCAUUCAUUUGUGUUCGCUUCACACUGACUCAACACUGCCUGGUUGUGUUUGUCACAGACAGGCAAUAGAGUCCCUCAUCAACAGCAGCAUCAGUCAAAACCAGGCAGAGAAAUGAAAAGAGAUUGGGUUUCAGACAGGCGUUUUAGUCAGGCACCUCAGAGAGGGCCUCUCUCCUGACAGUGCCACAUCAAGGCCCCCCAAUGAAACGAGAAUGGAAGAGAGAGGAUCAACUUCUCACAUCACACGAGGUGGAGGUGUCAGCACAAUUUCCCCUGCUGAUCUGUCGACAAGCUUCAAGCUCAUCGAGCUGGUCGCACCCCUCGCUCUAGCUACUGCUGCUGCCUGCAGGUGAGGCCUGUUUCUGGGGUGAUAAUGCUGCUCACUCCUGCAUCGCCACAGAAACCAAGAUGCAGAGAGUCCUAGAGGUCCUCUGGGAUGUGUUAUGACAGAGGCUGUAACGCCAGGAAGACUAUCCACUCUUCACCUGUCCCCUCGCCCCCGAAAGCAGACGUGGCUACUGCCACCACCCUGCCGCGUCUGGGCUCUGACAGGAAGUGUUUGACAGGAGGAACAGAUGCAGACAUUUUUCACAACGGUGCUGAACUGAAGGAGAUUAAGGGAGUUCACCAAGAGAGAGGAGAGGUACACAGAGAGCCAGGAGAUGAGAGAAUAGAGGUGAUCUGGAUAAAAGAAAGUGAACAAAGAAAAGACAAGCAGACUGCCUGACAGAGAGAAGGACAGGUAGGCAUGCAAACAGAACAUGCAUGGAAUGCCAUGGAGAAUUAGAGAGACAAUGUUUCAAGAUAGUAUCAGUAUGAAAGAAAGAAAGAAGGAACAGAACUAUGUAUAAAAAAAUAAGAAGGAAAAAAAUGAAGAAAGAACUCAAUAACAUGCAUCAGUCCUUGGACGGGCUCUGCCU
rnacentral:lncRNA from 8 species